rnacentral:rRNA from 1 species
GUGCCAGCGGCCGCGGUAAUACGGAGGGUGCAAGCGUUGUCCGGAAUCACUGGGCGUAAAGGGUGCGCAGGCGGGGCAGCAAGUCGGAGGUGAAAGCCCGUGGCUCAACCACGGAAGUGCCUUCGGAACUGUUGCUCUUGAGUCCCGGAGAGGCUGUCGGAAUUCGUGGUGUAGCGGUGAAAUGCGUAGAUAUCACGAGGAACACCAGAGGCGAAAGCGGGCAGCUGGACGGGUACUGACGCUCAAGCACGAAAGCGGGGGAAGCAAACAGGAUUAGAAACCCGAGUAGUCC